rnacentral:rRNA from 1 species
GAUGAACGCUGGCGGCAGGCCUAACACAUGCAAGUCGAACGGUAGCACAAAGGAGCUUGCUCCUUGGGUGACGAGUGGCGGACGGGUGAGUAAUAUCUGGGAAACUGCCCGAUGGAGGGGGAUAACUACUGGAAACGGUAGCUAAUACCGCAUAACGUCGCAAGACCAAAGAGGGGGACCUUCGGGCCUCUUGCCAUCGGAUGUGCCCAGAUGGGAUUAGCUAGUAGGUGGGGUAACGGAUCACCUAGGCGACGAUCCCUAGCUGGUCUGAGAGGAUGACCAGCCACACUGGAACUGAGACACAGUCCAGACUCCGGCGGGAGGCAGCAGUGGGGAAUAUUGCACAAUGGGCGCAAGCCUGAUGCAGCCAUGCCGCGUGUAUGAAGAAGGCCUUCGGGUUGUAAAGUACUUUCAGCGAGGAGGGAGGCGUUGUGGUUAAUAACCGCAACGAUUGACGUUACUCGCAGAAGAAGCACUGGCUAACUCCGUGCCAGCCGCCGCCGUAAGAC